CGCGAUCCUCUUCUCUUCCUCUCUUUCUCUCUCUCGCGAUCUUUUUUCUUCAUCUCUGCCUCCGAUUCACCGGAGAUCCACCGUCUCUCUCUCAUUCCACCGGUGCAGUUCUCGUGGCAGAAAAUUUUCAGGCUUUCUAUAUCGAUUUUGAGUGUUUGGUUACUUUAACAGCCUCCUUGUGUGGAUGUAUCUGGAAACUGAAAAUCGAAUAGCUUUGGUUCUGUUGAGAGAAGCAGCAGAGUUGAGGAGACAAGCUGAAAAAGAUGGUGUCCGAGUUUAUCUCGAGAAGCCUAAUGUAAGGCAUCGACCUAACUCAAGGUUUCUCACAACAACUGUCCUUGGUGUUAAACAAUAUUGGUGUCAAUGAGCUCACUGAAGGAGAUCAUGACACUGACAGUGCAAGUGUUACAUGUUCCAUGAGCUAUAUGGUUGAAGUUUGGAAGAGUGAGCGAGCAAAGAUAUGUUCUUGCAAAUGUUGUGGCAAGAAGUGUCACAGAAACUGCUUGAAGCAGUGGGCUCAACAUAGAGAUUUGUUUAACUGGAGCUCGUGGGCUUGCCCCUCUUGCCGAACCUGUGAGGAAACUGAAACAUCGUUGCAGACGUUGACUUCAGCUGCUACCAUGGAGCGUCUUGGUGGAGGUAAUAUCGUCCAGCCUUCUCUGUCCACGAGAGAUGCACUGGAUAAGUAUCAUAUUGUUACGCAGAAGAUGGAGGACUUAGUGGCUAAUAAUGCAGGAGAUGGUGAAAUUCAGUAUUCUGAAGUUCCUGAAAUCAUCCUUAGAUGUAUCAGCAAAGAUGAAGCAGCUUUAGCUGUCGCUCAAAGUAGUCUUCACAUGGAGCUUGACAGCAUGGAGAUUGUUUUAAUGUGUGAUAUACGCAGGUGUUGAUGAAGAUCAGAGUCCCGCGGGCCUGAACUGACAAGGCUUGUGCAAGUCGCGGGUCGGGAUUGGGCAGCACUUCUAGGGACCACAUCCCGCGCGAGCCUGUACUGCCAAGACCCGCAUUGACCUUGUACCGCGGCGGGCGCGAAAAGGCAGAUGCCCUAAGUGGAUUUUUUUCUAGAAGAUGGGACGCAAAGGAGUUGUGAGUCAUCAGUCUCCAUUAAUGCAUGCUAAGAAGGCAUUUUGUGGUGACACUUCAAAGGACACUUGUCAAGGCUUCCCCAUGCAUUCCCUGACUAUAAGUACUCCCCUUGUCUUUAAAUUAGAAAUUUAUAAACCCCAAAGAUUAAUUUCUCAGUCGUUCUUGUUGUUCUUGCUAGAGAGAGAAAGUAGUCAAAAACCAAUAAAUUUUCUAAGUGUGUGAGGUGAGUGUGAGGAGUCUUUGCAGUGGCUGAUCCUUAGACUAGGAUCCGCUGCGUUGUGUUAGAAAGGUUGGUAAGUUUUUAAAUUUUCGUUUGAAAGUGUUCUUAAACCCUUGAGCCAUUAGGCUUCGUAAAUAGGUUUUGGUAAAAUUAGGUUGUAAGCGGUUGGAUGUAUGUUCAGGCCAUGAUCGUGGCCUAUCUUCUGAGUGAAGAACUACGUGAA